GUGAGGUAAUGGCUCACCAAGGCGACGAUCAGUAGCUGGUCUGAGAGGAUGAUCAGCCACAUUGGGACUGAGACACGGCCCAAACUCCUACGGGAGGCAGCAGUGGGGAAUAUUGGACAAUGGGCGAAAGCCUGAUCCAGCAAUGCCGCGUGAGUGAUGAAGGCCUUAGGGUUGUAAAGCUCUUUUACCCGUGAUGAUAAUGACAGUAGCGGGAGAAUAAGCCCCGGCUAACUCCGUGCCAGCAGCCGCGGUAAUACGUAGGGUGCAAGCGUUAUCCGGAAUUAUUGGGCGUAAAGAGCUCGUAGGCGGUUUGUCGCGUCUGCUGUGAAAUCUGGGGGCUCAACCCCCAGCCUGCAGUGGGUACGGGCAGACUAGAGUGCGGUAGGGGAGAUUGGAAUUCCUGGUGUAGCGGUGGAAUGCGCAGAUAUCAGGAGGAACACCGAUGGCGAAGGCAGAUCUCUGGGCCGUAACUGACGCUGAGGAGCGAAAGGGUGGGGAGCAAACAGGCUUAGAUACCCUGGUAGUCCACCCCGUAAACGUUGGGAACUAGUUGUGGGGUCCAUUCCACGGAUUCCGUGACGCAGCUAACGCAUUAAGUUCCCCGCCUGGGGAGUACGGCCGCAAGGCUAAAACUCAAAGGAAUUGACGGGGACCCGCACAAGCGGCGGAGCAUGCGGAUUAAUUCGAUGCAACGCGAAGAACCUUACCAAGGCUUGACAUAUACGAGAACGGGCCAGAAAUGGUCAACUCUUUGGACACUCGUAAACAGGUGGUGCAUGGUUGUCGUCAGCUCGUGUCGUGAGAUGUUGGGUUAAGUCCCGCAACGAGCGCAACCCCCGUCCUUAGUUGCUACCAUUUAGUUGAGCACUCUAAGGAGACUGCCGGUGAUAAGCCGCGAGGAAGGUGGGGAUGACGUCAAGUCCUCAUGGCCCUUACGCGCUGGGCUACACACGUGCUACAAUGGCGGUGACAGUGGGCAGCAAUCCCGCAAGGGUGAGCUAAUCUCCAAAAGCCGUCUCAGUUCGGAUUGCACUCUGCAACUCGGGUGCAUGAAGGCGUAAUCGCUAGUAA
rnacentral:rRNA from 1 species